UAGAAGUUCGACGGGCCCGCACAAGCAGCGGAGCGUGUGGUUAAUUCGAUGUUACACGAAGAACCUUACCAGGGUUUGACAUGCAAGUGGUAGGAAGCCGAAAGGUGACCGACCCUUCGGGGAGCUUGCACAGGUGCUGCAUGGCUGUCGUCAGCUCGUGUCGUGAGAUGUUCGGUUAAGUCCGCUAACGAGCGCAACCCUCGCUGCGUGUUAUAUGUGUCACACGGGACUGCCGGUCUUAAGCCGGAGGAAGGUGGGGAUGAUGUCAAGUCAGCAUGGCCUUUAUAUCCUGGGCUACACACACGCUACAAUGGCCAACACAAUAGGUUGCUAAGCCGCGAGGUGGCGCCAAUCCAUAAAGUUGGUCUCAGUUCAGAUUGUAGGCUGCAACCCGCCUGCAUGAAGAUGGAGUUGCUAGUAACCGCAGGUCAGCUAUACUGCGGUGAAUACGUUCCCGGGGCUU
rnacentral:rRNA from 1 species